CUGGCUAAUCCUGCUGCUAGUCUCAAAGAAUGAGUCAUGUAUGUCUACUCAUAUGCCAUAUAAAGGUGAAACAUUUAAUCAUUACACUCAGUAAACCAUUCCUGGAAUCCUUAAAGCACAUCUUAAUACUUAUAUAAAUGUCACAAUUUGGCUAAUACAUGCAGCAGAGCUCCAAACCUUCAGAAAUGAGCACAUUUUAUUGCAUUAAAACCAACUGAACCUUGUGUCCUUCUAUUGAAGUAUCUGCCUUAGCAACUAUCAAUGCUAGGUUACAUGCUUACCACAAUCAUAACAGGUAAUCGAGAAUCAGGAUCGAAUUCCAGAGAGGAAGCCUGAAAAAUGGCUUUCACAUCCAAGGAAGGCAACAAGUGUGCAAAUUAACCACUUACAGAAUGGAGAGGCAAUGACAAAAAAUAACAAUAUAGGCAUCUUUUAGACCCUGUUAACUGGAAUGAAUACCUCUAAAUUCUUUAAUGAGGAUCAACUGGAGGGCAUACCUGGUGCCAGCAGCGACAGUAAUUCCAGUAUAUGUUGCAGUCAUUGCAGUUAAAAAGCUCAUAAUUAGAUAUAAGUUUCAGAUGAGUUGUCUGCCUGUUGGUUACUGCCUGUUUUAAGCAGCCAGGUGCUUUCCUUUGAUGAUCCUCACCAGUUAUUUUGGAUAAUUAGCAAAUUUACUUUAAAAAAAUUAUUCUCAAAGCAGGCAUCACUUUUAAACAAUAUUGCAUGGAAUACUGGAAUAGAACAUCAGUUAUAUUUUCUUGACUUUCAGAAUACAAGGUAAUGAUUAAGAAGGAUAAUGUACAAUGCGCAAAAAAAAAAGGUGGGUAGUUCUA
rnacentral:ncRNA from 1 species